GACGAACGCUGGCGGCGCGCCUAACACAUGCAAGUCGAACGAGAGAGAGGGAGCUUGCUUCCUUGAUCGAGUGGCGAACGGGUGAGUAACGCGUGAGGAACCUGCCUCAAAGAGGGGGACAACAGUUGGAAACGACUGCUAAUACCGCAUAAGCCCACGGCUCGGCAUCGAGCAGAGGGAAAAGGAGCAAUCCGCUUUGAGAUGGCCUCGCGUCCGAUUAGCUAGUUGGUGAGGUAAUGGCCCACCAAGGCGACGAUCGGUAGCCGGACUGAGAGGUUGAACGGCCACAUUGGGACUGAGACACGGCCCAGACUCCUACGGGAGGCAGCAGUGGGGAAUAUUGCACAAUGGGGGAAACCCUGAUGCAGCGACGCCGCGUGGAGGAAGAAGGUCUUCGGAUUGUAAACUCCUGUUGUUGAGGAAGAUAAUGACGG
rnacentral:rRNA from 1 species